GUACACUCCUACGGGAGGCAGCAGUGGGGAAUAUUGGACAAUGGGCGCAAGCCUGAUCCAGCCAUGCCGCGUGAGUGAUGAAGGCCCUAGGGUUGUAAAGCUCUUUCACCGGUGAAGAUAAUGACGGUAACCGGAGAAGAAGCCCCGGCUAACUUCGUGCCAGCAGCCGCGGUAAUACGAAGGGGGCUAGCGUUGUUCGGAUUUACUGGGCGUACAGCGCACGUAGGCGGACUAUUAAGUCAGGGGUGAAAUCCCGGGGCUCAACCCCGGAACUGCCUUUGAUACUGGUAGUCUUGAGUUCGAGAGAGGUGAGUGGAAUUCCGAGUGUAGAGGUGAAAUUCGUAGAUAUUCGGAGGAACACCAGUGGCGAAGGCGGCUCACUGGCUCGAUACUGACGCUGAGGUGCGAAAGCGUGGGGAGCAAACAGGAUUAGAAACCCGAGUAGUCCCAUGA
rnacentral:rRNA from 1 species